CAGAAAUGAAGUAAAGGCAUUUGGAAGGAGGAGUGAAGCAGAAUUGUUCCAAUCAUUGGGGAUUCAGCAGUGAACAAAACAGACACAAUUCCUUGGUUUCAAGAUACCUGCAUUCUGAUAAAACGUGUGAGACGAUAAUAACCAAGGUUGUGUCACACCUUUUCCUGAACUUUGGCUCAAUUGAAGAAGGAAACUUUCAGGGGAAUUCCAAUAGUAAACAACAGAACCAGCAGUUUUACAAUAAACUGCAGAGCUCCAUUUCAAAACACAAAAAUAGAGCGUCUCUGCAGUGAUGUACUGCCUUAAGGAAGGGUCUUCUCUGUAGUCCUGGAAAU
rnacentral:lncRNA from 1 species